rnacentral:rRNA from 1 species
UACGAAGGGUGCAAGCGUUACUCGGAAUUACUGGGCGUAAAGCGUGCGCAGGCGGUUCGUUAAGUCAGAUGUGAAAGCCCCGGGCUCAACCUGGGAACUGCAUUUGAAACUGGCGGGCUUGAGUGUGGCAGAGGGGGGUGGAAUUCCGCGUGUAGCAGUGAAAUGCGUAGAGAUGCGGAGGAACACCGAUGGCGAAGGCAGCCCCCUGGGCCAACACUGACGCUCAGGCACGAAAGCGUGGGGAGCAAACAGG